rnacentral:rRNA from 1 species
UACAGAGGGGGCGAGCGUUGUUCGGAAUUACUGGGCGUAGAGGGCGCGUAGGCGGCCAACUAAGUCGGACGUGAAAUCCCAAGGCUCAACCUUGGAACUGCGUCCGAUACUGGAUGGCUUGAAUCCGGGAGAGGGAUGUGGAAUUCCAGGUGUAGCGGUGAAAUGCGUAGAUAUCUGGAGGAACACCGGUGGCGAAGGCGGCAUCCUGGACCGGUAUUGACGCUGAGGCGCGAAAGCCAGGGGAGCAAACGGG